CCGCCAUUAGCUCAGCAGGUAGAGCGUUGCUUUUGUUUUAGGAAGUAGGGCCGGGGUUCGAUUCCUCGAUGGCGGC
rnacentral:tRNA from 1 species